UGCCCCUCAGAAUGACAGUUGGAAGG
rnacentral:piRNA from 2 species